rnacentral:rRNA from 1 species
UACGUAGGGCGCAAGCGUUGUCCGGAAUUAUUGGGCGUAAAGAGCUCGUAGGCGGUUUGUCGCGUCUGCUGUGAAAUCCCGAGGCUCAACCUCGGGCUUGCAGUGGGUACGGGCAGACUAGAGUGCGGUAGGGGAGACUGGAAUUCCUGGUGUAGCGGUGAAAUGCGCAGAUAUCAGGAGGAACACCGGUGGCGAAGGCGGGUCUCUGGGCCGAUACUGACGCUGAGGAGCGAAAGCGUGGGGAGCGAACAGG